UGCUGUUAGUGAUGAUUUUUCAAAUAGAUGGGAAUCUCUCUGAAAAGAGUGAAGACUAAAACAACCUGAAACAGCU